rnacentral:rRNA from 1 species
CACGUAGGUGGCGAGCGUUAUCCGGAUUUAUUGGGUGUAGAGGGUGCGUAGGUGGUUUCUUAAGUCAGAGGUGAAAGGCUACGGCUCAACCGUAGUAAGCCUUUGAAACUGGGAAACUUGAGUGCAGGAGAGGAGAGUGGAAUUCCUAGUGUAGCGGUGAAAUGCGUAGAUAUUAGGAGGAACACCAGUUGCGAAGGCGGCUCUCUGGACUGUAACUGACACUGAGGCACGAAAGCGUGGGGAGCAAACAGG